CUCGAAAGAGAGCCGUAACACAGGUGCUGCAUGGCUGUCGUCAGCUCGUGUCGUGAGAUGUUGGGUUAAGUCCCGCAACGAGCGCAACCCUUGUCAUUAGUUGCUACGUUCAGUUGGGCACUCUAAUGAGACUGCCGGUGACAAGCCGGAGGAAGGUGGGGAUGACGUCAAGUCCUCAUGGCCCUUAUAGGUGGGGCUACACACGUCAUACAAUGGCUGGUACAAAGGGUUGCCAACCCGCGAGGGGGAGCCAAUCCCAUAAAGCCAGUCGUAGUCCGGAUCGUAGUCUGCAACUCGACUACGUGAAGUCGGAAUCGCUAGUAAUCGUGGAUCAGAAUGUCACGGUGAAUACGUUCCCGGGUCUU
rnacentral:rRNA from 1 species